UCCUGGUGCUCCUGGUGCUCCUGCUGGGGAUGAAGGCAGUGAUGAUGGAGGAAGCAGCCAGCAGGGAGAGGGGGUUGUCCUGGUAGUUGCUGCCCAGGCAGGGAGCACCUUGUGUGGGAGGACAGUCUGGCAGGAGAGGGGGUUGUCCUGGUAGUUGCUGCCCAGGCAAGGAGCACCUUGUGUGGGAGGAAUGUCUGGCAGGUCCCCUCUGACGUCUGGCUGGGAAACAUCUGGAAAGGACAGAACAUAGUUGACCCUGUGGGAGAAAUGACAAGUCAGCAUAGGAGCUGUGAAGAAAGACCAGGAGAAGAAGAAAAAGAAAAGGAUUUAAUUGACAAUCUGAGGAUUCUUUCUGUCUUUUUCUGGAAGAUUCUGUCCUUCCAGCAGGGAAUUAGAUGGAAUAAUUACAGCACCCUCUUGACAACUUCCUGUCUCUGUCAGAGUAAGAGCUCAGGAGGCUUCAAAGCACAAGAAACCACUUUUUGCAAACUAGAAGGUGACACAAACAACAACAAGCACAAGUUUUCACUCCUUUGAGUUGAAAACAUAUUUGAUUACAUUUUCAAAAUAAAGUAUUUUAAUUUGCAAAUGUGUCACAGGAAGGAAAUAAGACAGUAUAGUAAAUAUUAAUUUGUAAAUGUGUCCUAGGAAGGAAGUAAGACAGUAGAGAUAAAUAUUGACCAUCUGGUGUGCUUGAAGACAAGUUGAAGUGGAACUUCUCUGUCACAACAAAGUAGACAAUCUUUUUCUCUUCACAUUCAGCCAGAAAAGUGAACAAUCUUUGAUUUUUGGGGACAAAAAGCAACUUCCUGCUCCGCCUUUUUUUGCAAAGACCAAGUGGGGACUAUCUCAGAGGUGAAAGGUCGCCAUCAUGGGCUGCAACAUGUGCGUGGUCAAGCGUCCAGAGGAGCACUGCAGGGUCUCACACCAGCAGAAGGGGUGGAGCCAGACCCUCAGACGAGGACAUAUGAAG